CAGCGGCUCCUUAAAGGAACAGAACCAGUGGCGCCCCCAGGCUCAGCCCCAGCUCCCCAGAUAUCUGGGAUAUCGCCGACCCUAAAGCGGGGAUGGAGGAUUUGGGCCGCGGGCCUGAAAUGACCGCAAUCUCACACUUGACCUGCUUCCAUCACUAGUGAGGAACUCAACCCUAGAACAGGAGGAAAGGAGAGCUCUAAUACUUGUCCCUGGCCCACAGGCUCCUGUGUCCUUCGCCCUAUUCCUACAUGGUUAUGAUGGGAGAAAGAGCUUCAGGGUGCCAAGAGGAAAGAGAGUCCAGGAUGGAAGGAAAGCUUAUGAAAGGUUUCAGAGGAACCCACAUUUUGAAGAGAAAGUCACUAGGAUUUGCU